rnacentral:lncRNA from 1 species
AGCGUGUGGGUCCGGUAGCGUAUCGACUUGCUCUACCACCGAACCUAUCGGGCGUGCACAACGUCUUUCAUGUAUCGGUCCUUCGGAGGUACAUUCAUGAUCCAGCUCACGUUUUGGAGACUAUACCAGUGGAGCUGCGCGAGGACUUGAACUUCGAGGAGCAACCAGUGAAGAUUUUGGCUCGCGAGGUGAAGAAGCUGCGGAAUCGGGACAUUCCGUAUGUGAAGGUUCUUUGGAGCAACCACGAGGAGCGAGAGGCUACGUGGGAGCUGGAGAGCGCUUUGCAGGAGCGCUACCUUCACCUUUUUCAGGUGGAGUCUUGAGGUACGUCGCAUUUUGAGUUUCGCGGACGAAACUCCUUUUUAGGAGGGGUGAAUGUAAUACACUGGAUCUUAGCAAAUCGCAAGAUUCGAGUGUUUGAUUUGUGUGUGGAGCCUUCCCACAGUUUUUUGAGGGUCGUUGAUAGUGUUCCGACCCCUGGCACGCACCCCGAGGAUGUUUGUUUGAGACUUGGCACCAAAAUCCCAAAACUGGAAUUUUUGGUUAGCUCUCGGGUAGCCUACAGCAAAGCUUGUACCGGAACAAGAUUGGUCUUGUACCGGUACAAGGUUGAUGGUUGUACCGGUACAGCCAUCGGGCUUGUACCGAUACAGAGCCGCAGACCCCGCAACCCGAGCCUCGGGUUUGUAUUUUCGUGGGCCUUGUACCGGUACAGGGGCCCGUGUACCGGUACAAGGGGGCAGUUUUCGUGCAGUUUGGUCUGCAGGGGCGUUUUUGCUAUUGUAGCACUUCUAUAAGUGCACCCCACGCCCCUUAGGGCCUCCCCUGUGCUGAGACCAGCAGGAGUUGAGGUAGGAGGAGCUCUCUCUCCCUUUCUUUGCAUUUUUACUCCUUUUGCUUGGUUUUUAUUGGGUUUCCUCUCCUCUAUUUGCAUCUUGGUGGCUUCUCCACCAUUGUUGAUGGCUUAGAGCUUGGAGAGGAGCUAGUGGCUGCGGAGAUCUUCAACGUCACUUGGAUUGGAGCUAAGUUUGGAGCUUCUUGAGAGGUUAGAGACUUGAUUUCUCCCUUUUGAUCCUUGAUUUGAGGUUUUUGUGAGAUUAAACCCUAGAAAUGGGAAUUUAAGAUUUAUUUGGGCAUUUUCGUUCUAGGGCUUUUGGAGCUAGAUUAUUGGGAUUAGAGGUUUCCUUUUGGUUGGAUUGGAAAGGCUCUAGCCCUCUUUUGGAGCUUUAGAGGAGAUUUUUGCACUAGAGGUGAGUUUUUCCCACCUAUGCUUGAUUAGCUUAUUGAUUGAACUUAGCGUCGUUCGUUUCGAUUAGGUGACACUUGUUCUCAUACCUCUAGGGUACUAGGAGGCUAGAGGACACCUUCGUCGAGGCAAACGAAGAGUUUCGCUGUCAUCGGUGGGUUUGGCUUCAUGAAAACGGGGCGAAAUGGCCCCUAAGCUUCCUAAACUUUUCGUAUACUAUUUUUGAAUGCAUUUUCAUGCUAAAUAUGAUCUAUGAGAAUUUUAGGGUACUUAAUAUGCAUGCAUUAUGUACGAUGAAAAUUUGCACUCUAUAUAGUAGAGCAUUGUGGGUGUUGUUGCAUGCAUUUGGGUGGUGCUCAUGCUAGACGUUUAGAAUCAUGUUCUAUGUGUUUAGAAUGACUUAAUUAAGCAUUCAUGAACCUUUGGGUUAAGCUUGGACUUAGUAAACGAAAGUAUCAUAAAGGGGCACUUAGACUAGCACAUUAUGAGACUAUUGUAUUGAGACAGAGAGAUAGGCCAUGAGCAUCUAUUAUUUCCAUAUUUUAGACAUGAUGAUAUAGAGAUAGGCCUAUGUGUGAGUUGUGACAUAUUCCAGGUUGUAGACAUGAGGACUUGGUACUUGAGACAUACUGAUAGCAUGCUUGCCAUUGUGCUCAUUCGCACAUGCUUGUGAGGGUCGCUCCCUACAAGCCGACACUCCGGAGUUGGCCUUGCGAUACGUUCGCCGUGCGGGAUUGGGCGCCGAAGUGGAUUACCGUGGGAAAGGCUCAUUCCUAGAGUGGGAAUGUUGACUACCACGGGGCCAUUAGGCCGGGCAAAGCGAGACAGCCUUCGGGUGGGUCUUAUGCCAGACAGCCUUCGGGUGGGUUUUAUCAGAGCUGAACUUUAAACAGAUAAAGUGACAAGUGAACAUUGACUAGGAUAGUAAACAAUGACAUCUUUACUAUUACAUUGUGGACUUUGGGUAGUAGCAUAUUCAUGCAUUACAUGUUGGGUAUUCAUAUGUAUAUAUCUAGUAGUUGCUUUCUUACUUAUGCAAAUCAUGCUAAGUAAAGAUAUCAUGAUUAUUGGGUACUCAUUUAUUUAUUUAUUUACAGUGCAUUUAUCGCUUUUGUUAUAGUUGUACACUGACCCUCUUUUACAGUCUCGGGCCUAGUGGUGCAUUUUACUGAAGUCAGUAAUUGCCCACUGGAAACUAUUAUUUAAUAAUUCUCACGCCCCUGUUUCUAUGUUUUCCUUUCAGAGCCUUCGGCACCGGCGGAGGCACGGGAUUGCGGCAAGGGUGUCGCUUAGCUAGCUCGUGGAGAGUUCUUUCGCGCUAGGUGGUUACUCCUCUUCUUUUGUGUUUUGAGAGGGAGAGGUUUUGUACCAUAUAUAGAGAGACCACCUUGUACUUCAUUUAGCGUUUGUUAUGGGGUUCCUAUUGUACUUACUCUAUGUUUUUAUUUAGUGGAUUUUCAGCUUUAUGUCCUUUUUCUUGUUAUAGAACUAGUUGUACAAUGCUCUGAUAUCACUAGAUCUCUUGUAUUACUGUUUCAUUUAUCAAAAUUUUGUAGACGCCUUAUAUGUUUUAGACGUAUGGCGGGUCUGGACACGUGCCGGGUAGGCUUCCGCUGAGCCCCGGGGCGUGACAGAUUAAAUUGGUAUCAGAGCCUAGGGUUGAGUCUUAGUGGACCUAGCAAACCUUAGGCCGGUUGGACUAUAGGAAAUAGGCUCGUGAGAGACGAGGUCUAUUUGACUUAUGAGCGAAAGUAUCCUGAUUGGGUAUCUUGAUAACUCUAAAAAGUUAGAGUUUGAUCGGAGUGUAUGGCUUCUAACUUCGCGGAGGGUUACGUUGGCGGCCGACAACGUAACAUCGGGAGUUAGUAGUGAAGGACACUUCCUUACUUUCGCAUGAUUUGGGUUUUAUCUAUUUGAGCGGGGUUGCGAUAGCGUGGGUACUACUUACGCUUUUAUGUUUUGUAGUGCGAUGCGAGUUAGCUCGCUCCAAUUUGCCGGGGGUGGACAAUGCGGCGACUUUGAGGAGGUCGAGCCUCGCUACUCGGGAUUGGGCGAGGAUUCCGUGAGUUGAAGGGGCCAGCUUGCGGCCCUCACGAUUUAGUUACCUCAGCAGGCGGAGGCGGCCGACAACAUGACGAGGCGGCGCGCCGAAGGAGGCGCGGAUGAAGCUCCUGGAGGGAUCUAUCUCUACGGCAGCAGGUUCGUAGGGAGCGCGAGGGCCUACACCGCCAGCACCCGUUGCGGCGUUGACGGAGAGGCCGUCCCUGCGCAGUUCUUCGGUGCGGGCUUGUGGCCGCACCAAGAGGAGAUUUUUGGUGGCACAGGUGCAGAGGCCCCGCUGGAGCUUCAUUUCCCCUACAUUGUUGGGGGCGCGGAUCGAGACAGACUUGAUGGAGGUUCAUGAGUUCAGGAGGUGCAGCCCGAUCUGCGACGGCGAGUAGGUGACCAUGGAUCGUGGAGAAGGGUGGGUUGAUGUAUAUGGAGAAGCUCUUCCGCGGAACUUCGUGGAGGAGGGAGGGACAGAGUUUUGGGCUUGCCACCCACCAUCUGGACGCGAGGAUGGCCUAUCGCUGGUGGUUGGACUCAGAGACCCCCAGUACAGAUUGGCGGAAUUCUUGGACGACGAGGUUCAAGAAUUCUCUUGGUGAUUACUUCCCGGACGGCGUCAGAGAGAGAUGGAGCAGGAUUGGCGUUUGCGCCGCGGACGCACGUUAGUCGAUUACCGAGAGGAGUUUUUCGGUUCUGCAUGGUGCCUUUGUCGUUGGGAGGACGAGGACAAGGGGCCCGCAUUUCUCGACGCGAGAGUUGAAGAAGUCUAUCUACUUGGUUUGUGCAAUACUCAACUUCAAACUACCGGGAGGUGGUGAUCGCAGCGUCAUUUGUGGAGAGCGGCGUGGCAGAGAUGCCCAGGAGUCGAGAGGCUUUGGACAGGGGUAAGGCCAAGAGGCUGCGGCUGAGGGUGCUGACGGUCCGAAAGCACCCAGGAGGAAGCAGCAUUGGGCAUGGCCCGGCGCUCGGAGGAGGAUCAGAGCGGCGCCGGCCCUGUCCGUGUGUGAUCUGUAUGUGGCCCCCAUCAUCCACGCAGGGUUGUCCACAGGCGGGCGGGCAGGUUGCUUCCAGUGUGGCCAGGAGGGCCACUGUGCGGCCGAGGACCACCAUGCCCGAGGAGCUUUUCACCAGCACCGGUCGAUGCUUUGAACGCGCUUUACAACCACUAGCCAGGGGACUCCAUCUGCACAGUACCCUGGGGCGGGCCCCCCCGGUCAGCGUAGAGCGAGGAUCACGCCAGUUUGCCGCGUGGCGCAUGUAUGGCUCAGACCGAGGAAGGCGGCGACAGCGAAACAAACAAAAAAACAAACACAACAACAAACACACCACAAACACACAACACACCCACACACAAGGGGAUGUGGUUGCAGGUUUCUUUUACUUGAUUGGGCAUUGGUUUCGUGAACUUAUUUUGAUUACGAUGGCAUCACAUUUCGUUCCUUAGGUGGUAUUCGCGGUUUCAUGGCAUCUAGUUAGUUCAUUUUGCAUUCCGGACAGGUUGAGUACGACCCACACCUUGGAUAUUCGAGGUUUUGCCCCAGCUGCCUGUGCGGAUAGGGGAUUGGAUUAUAGCCUGUGGAUUUGGUAUAGCUUCGCAGCUAGGGAGUUUGAUGUGGUCUUGGUUAUAGAUGGCUGACUGAGGUACUGUGCCACAUCGAUGCAAGAAUCGCCGGUUACUUUUAGAGACCGGGGAAGUUGAGUGAUUUUUCAGGAGGAUGCAUAGUUCGCAUUACGCGUGAGAUUCAGCUGGUUCUCGAGCUUUUUGGCAGCUGUCCAGUACAGGCUUGUGUUGCACGGCCCCCGGGUUACCAGCGGAAGCAUUAUCGGGUACGUGCACAACCGCCAUACACUGCAGUAUUUAGGGCGUCUACAAGGCACAAAUGAUAGGAGUAAAGACAUCAUAAUCAUCUUCCUGAUAUCAGAGAUAGUAGAUGUCACAAGGAGAAGUUAAAGAGUAUACAAUAAAUUAUCAGAAAAGGAGAGAAGUAGAACUAUACAUCUGGAUCUACAACUCUUAUUACAGCACGGGGUACACAAAAAUUCCUGUACAUGGUGGUCUUCUAUACGAAGGGCAUCACCUCGGCCGUAGCCGGGGUAACAAGGUGAUUGACUGCCGUCCUAGUAGUCCUUAGCUUUAGGCGAGACUCCCUUGCCACGAAUCCUAGCUUUCCUGUAACAGCUUGUAAAAAACCACCACAAGAAAAGGGGCGUGAGAACUAUUCAACAAUAGUUCCCAGUGGGUAAGCCGCCAGCCUCGGCGAAUUACACCACUAGGCUCAUGAUGUACUAAAUGGAAAUAAAAGCAGUAAUUUGCAUGAUAUAUUUUCAAUGCUAAUAAUUAAUGAACAUGUAAGCAACAUGGGAUCAUAGUCUCAACAGUGAUGAAUCAACUGAUUAAUAGAAGCAUAGCAACUACUAUAAGCAUGAACAUAAGCAUAAAUGUGUAAGUAACUACUGUACACUGUAACUGAUAAUCAUUCAUUACUGUCCAAUUUCCUUUAGCACUUUCCUUUCAUUCACAGGGACCUACCCAAGGUAGUCCAGCUUGCGCCGCGCCUAAUGGCCCCGUGGUAGUAUACACUUCCCACGGCAAUCCACUUCGGCACCCAAUCCCGCACGGGCGAGCAACUGUCGCAUAGGCUAACUCCGGAGUGCCGGCUUGUAGGGAGCUACCCUCACAAGCGUGUGCGAAUGAGCACAAUGGCAAGCAAGCAUAUUUCACAGUUCACAUGCCUCAAUUAUCAUAUUCUCAUUUGCAAUGUUCUUACCCUCGAUCCUCUGAUCGGAAUUUCAAUACACAAAGAGUAACAAGAACUAGUAUCCACUAGAUUGUACACAUAUAAGAGUAAUGCUAAAUCACAUGGCAUUAGAAUCUUUCCACUAUUAUGGCACUAUCAACAUGGUCAUAAGCAUGUUAUAAUUUUCUACUUUAGAGUCAAGAGAAUGUCAUUGUUCUCUACAAAGUCACGAGAAUAUUAUUGUUCUCUACAUUACAAAAGCAUCAUUAGUAUGUCCACUAGUUAACUUAACUAAAUAUAAACAUAAACAGAAGCAUAAAGACACUUAUGCAUGGGUGCUCUCUACUUCAUAGAGGUUCUAUUCAGCUAUAUAUAUAUAUCAACACUAUAAUAUAGUGACUUGUCUCAAGUUCUAUAUCAAUCACAAAAGCAUACAACUGUAUCAAUUCUAUAAUACAUAUAGAACCUAGGGGAGCUCCACUUGCUCUGGUUAGGUCAAACCCACCUCGCACUAAGCUCAAAUCAGUCCAAAGGAAUCCCAAGGAUCAGCCCCACUCGGUCUCAAGCCUGCCGAACACGAAGCACAAAUAUCGUAUCACAAUUAUGAUCGACACGUCCAAUUUCGGCGCAAUUGCACUUAGUACAUAGGAAUAGCUUAAAUUCCUGUUUUGGCUCAAUAAAUACCUCAAGUUAAGUUUCCAAAAUCCCUCACAUAUCAGCCGGAGGUAAUCCGAAGGUCCGUUGCAAGCCCACUGCGAACUAUUUCCCAAAACGGCAACAAAGUCGUCAAUUACUAACAAUAUAGUCGGAAUCAUGCGAAUUCAGUUUUCUAACUGAAAUUCCUACUUACCUCAGGUUAGAACACUUGUAGAACACUUCGAGACAGUCCCCAAGGUCAUCCAAUUAACUCCAAAUGGUUCGAGAACCUGCUGCGAAGGAAUCAUACAAAACUGCGUCAAUAAACUGCACAUUGUUCCGAAAUUGAGUUAUAACUCACUACUUAUCCUUCAUAAGCUUUAAAGUAACGUAUCUCAGAGUUUAGAUGGAUAAUUAGCAGCCAAAAGAACCCUUCUUUACUGCUGAAAAUAAUUUCUAGCUCAGUUGGAAGCAACGAGACUAAACGGCGUCCAAAUUCAAUGCUAAAUCGGAAACUAGAGAGGAAUCGAGUUGAAUACCUCUCUAAAGCUGUGAUUCAGCCUUUCCUGGUGAUAACCUCACAAGAAACACAGCAAAACUCCUUCUCCCCACAUGCCAAAGGCUUCCCUUGAGUCCUCCUAUCAGCGAGCAACGAACGCGGCGCGAAAACGGCGCGAAUCGGCGGCUUUUCUCUAGAGAGAGAAAAACCCUAGAGAGAGAGAAAGAGAGAAGAUGGAAGACUCUCUCCUGAGCUCCAGCAACUUCUGAAGAGGUCCAGGGGUCGAGCUGGGAGGAUAGGGAUGAGUAAAGGAUGUGAAAAGACCAAAACAACCCUGCUGCCACGCAGCUGCAGCUGCUGCUGCUUGCUGUACCGGUACAGCAUUAUGCUUGUACCGGUACACCAAUGCAGAAAAUGCCAAUUUCACGAUUUCAAUGCACUUUCUCGCUUUUAACCCUCCAAUCACUCUCUAACUUAUUCAAAAACUUGUCCAAGUCAUUUAGAACAUAUAGAAUAGUUCCACACUUCAUUCCACACAUUCGAACUCUGCAAUUUGCGAAAGUUCAGUGUAUUACAUUCACCCCUCCUAAAAAGAAGUUUCGUCCGCGAAACUUGUAAACACUUACCUCACGAUUCCAUCGAGAAUAGAUAGGGAUAAUGCUCUUGCAUUGCACUCUCCAGUUCCCAAGUGGCUUCCCGUUCAUCGUGAUUGCCCCAAAGGAUCUUCACGUAAGGUAUCUCGCGAUUUCGAAGCCGUUUAACUUCUCGAGCUAGUAUCUUUACUGGAUGCUCCUUGAAGCUCAGAUCUUCUUGUAAAUCCACUGGAGUACUCUCCAAUAUGUGCGUUGGAUCAAAAAUAUAUUUCCGAAGCGUAGAUACAUGAAAUACAUUAUGCACUCCUGAUAGGCUCGGCGGCAAAGCAAGUCGAUACGCUACGGGGCCUAUCCGUUCCAACACCUCAUAGGGUCCGAUGAAUCGGGGACUUAACUUUCCUCAAAUACCAAAUCUCUUAACUCCCUUUGUCGGUGAUACUUUCAGGAAUACAUGAUCGCCAACCUGAAAUUCCAUUUCUCGCCGACGUUUAUCCGCAUAACUCUUUUGUCGACUUUGAGCUGUCAAUAGACGUUCUUGUGCCAGUCGAACUUUAGCUUCAGCCUCUUGCAGUACAUCUGGACCCAAAACUAAUCUCUUUCCCACUUCAUUCCAAUGAAGUGGUGAUCUGCACUUUCGACCAUAAAGGGCUUCAAAAGGUGCCAUUUGAAUACUUGCGUGAUAGCUAUUGUUAUAGGCAAAUUUUGCCAUAGGCAAGAACUGUGACCAACUGCCCUGGUAAUCUAUCACACAGGCCCGCAACAUAUCCUCAAGGGUCUGGAUGGUACGCUCGGACUGCCCGUCACUCUGGGGGUGGAAAGCAGUACUGAAAUCCAAUCGGGUACCCAAGGCCUCCUGUAAACUCCUCCAGAAAUGUGAAACAAAUCGGGUGUCCCGAUCUGAAACAAUAGAGGUUGGUACUCCAUGUAAUCGCACAAUUUCAUCAAGAUAUACUUGUGCGAGUCUCUCUCCUGACCAAGUUGUGUGGAUUGGAAUAAAGUGGGCAGAUUUGAUUAAUCUAUCCACAAUUACCCAAAUUGCGUCAUGACCUGCUUGUGAGCGAGGUAAUCCAACGAUGAAGUCCAUAGUGAUCCUCUCCCACUUCCACACUGGUACGGGUAAGCUCUGAAGUUUCCCCGCAGGAAGUCGAUGUUCAGCCUUAACCUGUUGACAGGUUAAGCAUCUUGCUACAAAAUCAGCAACUUCCUUUUUCAUUCCAGGCCACCAGUAAGUCGAUUUCAAAUCUUUAUACAUUUUUGUACUCCCAGGGUGUAAAGUAUAUGGCGCCCGAUGUGCUUCCUUUAAAAUUUCCUCUUUAGUAUCUGGAUCGGCAGGUACACAAAUUCUAUCACCGAAUUUUAGUAAUCCCUGAUCAUCUACUUGAAAGUCGCCAACAGGAUCAGUAAUGAUCUUUGCUCGAAUCUUUUGUAGGAAUUCAUCAUGAAUUUGCUUAUCUUUAAUUCGAUCGAUCAGGGUAGGUUGCACUACCAAUGACAUAAGUCUCCAAGGUGUAUCAGGAGCAACAACUUCCAAACUCAACUGCUCCAUUUCCUUUACCAACAGGGGUUGCAUAGUUAUUAACAUCGCCAAAUUUUCUGUCGAUUUUCGACUCAAAGCAUCUGCUACGACAUUAGCUUUUCCUGGAUGAUAGAGGAUAGUCAAAUCAUAGUCCUUGAGCAACUCCAACCAUCUACGUUGUCUCAAGUUUAAUUCCUUCUGCGUAAAUAGAUACUUUAAGCUUUUAUGAUCAGUGUAGACUUCACAACGCUCGCCGUAGAGGUAGUGGCGCCAAAGCUUUAAAGCGAAUACCACAGCUGCUAACUCAAGAUCAUGUGUAGGGUAGUUCUUUUCAUAAUCUUUCAAUUGGCGAGAAGCAUAGGCAAUUACUCUGCCAUUCUGCAUUAGAACACACCCUAAUCCACUCAGUGAUGCAUCGCUGUAAAUCACAUAAUCCACUCCACUAACAGGCAAAGCCAGAAUCGGGGCGGUGGUCAAUCGUUCCUUCAGCUCUUGAAAGCUUCUUUCGCAGGCUUCAUUCCAUAGGAAUUUAGCUCCUUUAUGUGUAAGUCGAGUAAGAGGAGUGGACAUCUUCGCAAAUCCUUCUACAAAUCUUCAGUAGUAUCCUGCCAAUCCAAGGAAACUCCGAAUUUCAGUGACACUGGUCGGUCUAGGCCAAUCUUUAAUUGCUUCAAUCUUCUUGGGAUCCACAGCUAUCCCAGUUUCAGAAAUCACAUGGCCCAAAAAUGCCACUUCUUGAAGCCAAAAUUCGCAUUUCUUUAACUUGGCAAAUAGUUCCUUUUCUCGAAGUACUUGUAACACCACUCUUAAAUGGUUUUCAUGCUCCUUAUCGCUUCGAGAAUAGAUCAAGAUAUCAUCGAUGAAGACGACCACAAACCUAUCCGGAUAGGGUUUAAAGAUACGGUUCAUUAAAUCCAUAAAGGCUGCUGGGGCAUUAGUCAAUCCAAACGGCAUGACUGUAAAUUCAUAAUGCCCAUACCGUGUUCUAAAAGCAGUUUUAGAAACAUCUUCAGGCUUAAUCUUGAGUUGAUGAUAUCCGGAUUGCAAAUCAAUCUUGGAAUAUACUUUCGAUCCUUGCAACUGAUCGAAUAAGUCAUCAAUUCGAGGUAAUGGAUAUUUAUUCUUGAUUGUGACUUUGUUGAUUUCUCGAUAAUCCACGCACAAUCGAAGAGAUCCAUCUUUCUUCUUGACAAAUAACACCGGUGCUCCCCAAGGCGAAACACUCGGCCGAAUGAACCCUUUAUCUAACAGAUCUUGUAACUGUGCCUUCAACUCUUUCAAUUCAGCGGGUGCCAUCCUAUAGGGCGCUUUAAAAAUAGGGGUAGUCCCAGGGACAAGAUCAAUCACAAACUCUACUUCCCUAUCAGGUGGCAUACCCGGCAAUUCAGCUGGAAACACAUCUAUAAAUUCUCGCACAACUGGAAUAUCAUCAAUCUUGAUGGCUUCACCACCACUCACAGAAAUGCUAGCCAAAUAGGCUACACAACCUCUCCGAAUCAACUGUCGUGCUCGCGAAGAGCUAAUAGUCAUUGCGAACAAUGAACUCUGACACCCCUUAUAAACAAACUCCUGUUGACCCGGUUCUCUAAAGGUCACCGUUCUGUUCGUGCAAUCUAUGGUGGCAUAAUACUGUGUCAACCAAUCCAUACCCAAUACUACAUCAAACUCACCUAGUUUGUGUAGUGCCAAUAAAUCCACUGGCAUAAUCCAAUCGCCUACCCUAACUGGGCAACGAGGGCAAAACUCACAAACAUCUAGGGUAUGGUCAGGUACGAUCACUCGUCCCAGAUGCAAAGUAGGUGCUAAUGAAAUGCUAUGCAACUCGGCAAACUGCCGAUCAAUAAAAGAAUGCGAAGCACCAGUAUCAAAUAAUGCACGAACACGACUAUCAUAAAGCAUAAUGAUACCUGCUACGACCUCCUGUGCUGCUACAGCACCCUCGGUCUGGGCGGCAUACAUCCGCCCACUCGAACCCUGCUGCGAACUCUCUGACUGCCGCUGUCCUGGUGGUCGCCUAGACUGAUAGGGCGCUGUCGGGGUCCCCUGGCUCGGAGCUGAAGAUGCAGGUGCAGUCGCUGACGAGGGUGCAGGCAAAGAACCUCUCGGGCACUCUGAACGAAAGUGGCCCUCCUGGCCGCAAAGAAAACACCUGCCCCCACGCUGUGGACACUGUGGCGGUACGUGAGGCCCACCACAGAUAACACAACGCGGUGGUCGACGACGCUCGGGUGCUCCACGGGGUGCUGAAGAACCUCGACCCCUCGACUGACCUAACUGUCCCCUCGGAUACUUUAGUGGCUUUCUAAAGGAUUGUUGACCACUGCUCUCAACUGCUGGUCUUUUUCCUUUGCUUCUAUCCACAACGUCUCUUUCUUUCAUAAUCUCCGCCCCUUUCUCGACGAUCAAGGCCCGGUUCACUACAUCCCGGUAAGUGGAUAGGUUUGACGCCCGGACCAAUCGAAAAAUCGUAGGUCGCAAACCUACCUCAAAUAUGCGAGCCUUGUCCUCAUCAUCUCUAACCACAAAAAGAACGCAGUGCAAUAAUCGGGAGAACUCUCGCUCAUACUCUGCCACUGUCUUGUCCCCCUGCCUCAGGUUUCUCAGAUCCCUUUCCAUCUGUCUCUUUACACUCUGAGGAAAGUAAGUAGUUAAUAACAAUUCCUUGAAUCUGUUCCACGUGAUAGCGGACAGAUCAGUACGGGGAUCCUCACGGAUAUCUACCCACCACCUAUAAGCCUCGCCAUCAAGGUGGUGUGUCGCAAACCAAACUCGGUAUCGCUCCUCGACGAAUGUGUCAUAAAAUAGCUUUUUCAUGUGCAUCAGCCAUUUCUCGACCACCCAGUGAUCUGCUUUCUCCCCGUCAAAGACACGAGGGUUGCAGCGACGGAAUUCAUUCAGUUGUUCCAUCAUCCGCUCUCGCUCCUCAACCCCCACCAUCUCAGGUAACACUGUCCCUGAUGCUGCUACAGGUACUGGUCGUUGUACUGCUGUCUCCUGUCGGGUCUCUGCCCUCGGAGAUACUGGGGGCGUGUCAAGUACAGGUGACUGUGCUCUCACUGUCGCAUCCCUGCCCGAUACUGUAAGUAUAGGAUCCGGAAUCCCUCUGUCAGUCGUCUGUUGCAGUAGUAAAUCCUCUAACCUCUUCAUCCUGUCCUCCUGCUGACGCGCUGCAUCCAUCUGCUGUCGCGCGGCUGCAGCCUGCUGAGCGACCAAAUCUGUCAGCUUCGCGAGCUGAUCCUGUAACCCAUGGAUCCCACUAGAUCCCGAAGUAACGGAAGUCCCCACUUCCUCUGCAUCCGCCACCUCAGCUGCCCCGGCGGUUUGCGAACGAGUCAACGGCAUCUUAAGCUGCAACACAAAAACAAACAUAGGUCAAUAAACCCUAUACUACAGAACCCUCAUUGAGGAUAUAAACCAGCUAAUCAAGCGAAAGUAAUGAAAUGUAACGCGUACUAACUUCCGAUGUCACGUUGUCGGCCGCCAACGUGACCCUCUGCAAAGUUAGUAAUUGCACAUCCCGAUCAAACUCCUACUAGUCGGAGUUUAUAAGUACCCAAUCAAAGAACUUUCGCUAACAACAACCUCGACUAGACAUCGCCUCUCACGAGCCUAUCCUUAUAGUCCAACCAGCCUAAGGUUUACAAGGUCUACUAAGACUCAACCCUAGGCUCUGAUACCACAAUAAUCUCUCACGCCCGGGUACCAGCGGAAGCAUAUCCGGUACGUGCACAGACCCGCCAUACACCUGCAGUAUAUAAGGCGUCUACAAGCAACAAAUCGAUAGGAGUAAAGACAUAUAAUAAUCCUAUCCUGAUAUCAGAGCAUAGUAGAUGUCACAAGGAGAAUAAAGAGUAUACAAUCCAAAAUCUCAGCAAAAGGAGAAGAAGUAAGAACUAUAACAUCUGGAUCUACAACUCAUAUACAACACGGGGUACACAAAAAUAUCUGUACAAUGGUGGUCUUCUAUACAAAGGACAUCACCCUCGGCCGUAGCCCGAGUAACAAGGUGAUUGACUAGCACGCUCCUAGUAGUCCCUAGCUAGNGUGGACCUAGCAAACCUUAGGCCGGUUGGACUAUAGGAAAUAGGCUCGUGAGAGACGAGGUCUAUUUGACUUAUGAGCGAAAGUAUCCUGAUUGGGUAUCUUGAUAACUCUAAAAAGUUAGAGUUUGAUCGGAGUGUAUGGCUUCUAACUUCGCGGAGGGUUACGUUGGCGGCCGACAACGUAACAUCGGGAGUUAGUAGUGAAGGACACUUCCUUACUUUCGCAUGAUUUGGGUUUUAUCUAUUUGAGCGGGGUUGCGAUAGCGUGGGUUACUAACUUACGCUUUUAUGUUUUGUAGUGACGAUGCCGAUUACUCGCUCCCAAUCUGCCGGGGUGGACAAUGCGGCGAACUUUGAGGAGGUCGAGACCUCCGCUACCUCCGGAUCUGGCGAGAUCCGUGAGUUGAAGGGCCAGCUUGCGGCCCUCACCGAUUUAGUUACUCAGCAGGCGGAGGCGGCCCGACAACAGACCGAGGCGGCGCGCCGACAGGAGGCGCGGAUGAAGCGCCUGGAGGAUCUACUCCUACGGCAGGCAGCAGCUUCUAGGGAGACGCAGGGCCCUACACCGCCAGCACCCGUUGCGGACGUUGCACCGAGAGCGCCGUCCCCUGCGCCCAGUUCUUCGCGUGCGGUGCCUGUGGCCGCACCCCAAGAGGAGAUUUUGGUGGCACCACCGGUGCAGAGGCCCCCAGCUGGAGCUGCAUUCCCUACAUUGGUUGAGGGGGCGGAUCGAGACAGACUGAUGGAGCGUCUCAAUGAGUUCAGGAGGUGCAGCCCCCGAGUCUGCGACGGCGAGAAGGUCGACCACUGGAUCGUGGAGAAGUGGUUGAUGUAUAUGGAGAAGCUCUUCCGCGACACCUUCGUGGAGGAGAGGGACAGAGUUUGGCUUGCCACCCACCAUCUGGACGGCGAGGCCUAUCGCUGGUGGUUGGACCUCCAAGAGCACCCCAGUACAGACUUGGCGGCUAUUACUUGGACGAGGUUCAAGGAACUUCUCUUGGUGCAUUACUUCCCGACGAGCGUCAAGAGAAAGAUGGAGCAGGAUCUGCGCAGCUUGCGCCAGGGAGACCGCACCGUAGUCGAGUACGAGAGGGAGUUUUCUCGGCUUCUGCAUUGCGUGCCUUUCGUCGUGCGGGAUGACGAGGACAAGGCCCGCAUUUUCGAGCGAGAGUUGAGAACGUCUAUCUACUGGUUUGUGCAAUCCUCCAACCUCCAAACCUACCGGGAGGUGGUGGAUCGCGCGCUCAUUGUGGAGAGCGGCGUGGCAGAGAUGCAGGAGCGGCGAGAGGGCUUGGACAGGGGUAAGGCCAAGAGGCCUGCGGCUGAGGGUGCGAGCCGAAGCACCCCAGGAGCCAGCAGCUUGGGCAUGGCCCGGCGCCUCAGCGAGGAGGAUCAGAGCGACGCCGGCCCUUCCCGUGUGUGAUCUGUAGUGGCCCCCAUCAUCCACCGCAGUGUCCACAGCGGGCGGGCAGGUGCUUCCAGUGUGGCCAGGAGGGCCACGUNUCCGAAGGUCCGUUGCAAGCCCACUGCGAACUAUUUCCCAAAACGGCAACAAAGUCGUCAAUUACUAACAAUAUAGUCGGAAUCAUGCGAAUUCAGUUUUCUAACUGAAAUUCCUACUUACCUCAGGUUAGAACACUUGUAGAACACUUCGAGACAGUCCCCAAGGUCAUCCAAUUAACUCCAAAUGGUUCGAGAAUGUCACGCCCGGGUACCAGCGGAAGCAUAUCCAGUCGCGUGCACAGACCCGCCGUGUAUACCACAACUCAAGUAUACACAAGGCGUCUACAAACCAUAGAGUAAAAGUAUAUAAUUCUAACCAGGUAAUCAGAGCAAGACUUGUAAGUUUAAGCUUAUACAAUUCAAACCUUACUACAAGAAAUAAAAAUACAGUACAAUUUACAAAAACUUAAUAUACAUCUCAGUACUAAACUACAUAAACUGGUGGAGGCCAUCUAGUACACGUCCAAAAAGGCUCUAGCUAGCCGCAGACCCCUUGCCAAGAACCCUAGCCUUUCCCGCAGUGGAAGGCUCUGUAGAAACAACAACAAAGAGGGCGUGAGAACUAUUAAACAAUAGUUCCCAGUGGGUAAGCCGCCGAGAGUGGCGAAGUACACCACUAGGUCAACUGUGGCAUGAGUAGAUAACAAUAAAUAACCAAGUAAAUGCAGAUAAUGCAAUAAACAAUUACAUUCAACAGAUAUUAAAGUAAACUACUCAUGCUAUUUGCUCAACAAUAAAUAUACAUCAAUAGAUUGCAGGUAUCAAUUAUCAUAAUAGAUUCCAUCAAUCAUAUUACUUGACAAUUUAACCAAACAUAUAUCAGAUUGUAUGCAAAAAUAAUUCACUUUACCGAAAAUUACAGACGAUAUCAUGUAAUUACCUUUUUCAUUAGCAAGAAAUAAACAUAAUGUCAUUCAUUACGUUGCUAACCAAUCAUGAUGUCAACUUCUAGGUUAUUCAUUGCUAGGCUCACUUAGAUGUCAACUUUCUAGUAUGUUCAUCAAUAAGUUCACUUAACCAAAGACAUAAAGUAACUGUACUACUAUGUCCAGCUAAGGUUAAAGUACUUGACAUAACCCAAUUUCCAACAGACUUACACAAGGUAAGUUCAAGCCGCGCCGUGCCUCAUGGUCCCGUGGUAGUCCACAUCCCUACUCUAGGAAUGAGCCUCCCCCACGGCAUUCCGUUUCGGCACUCACUUCGUACAUUUGCGAGCAUCUGUCGCUAAGCUGUUCGGGAGUGCUGGCUUGGGAGGGAGCGACCCCGCAAGCGUGUGCGAACGCGCACAAUGGUAUGCAAACCAUAGUCCAUAGUACUAAUCUCACAACAGCAUCAUGUCUCUGACAUGGUAUCUCAACUCGAGCCACUCCGGAACGCGGGGCUUGGGGGGCGCGACCCCUGCAAGCAUGUACGAAAGAGCAUAAUGGCAUGCUAGCUAUAGUCCAGGAUACAAAUAUCUCAACAGCAUCAUGUCUCUGACAUGGAAUCUCAAUUCGACCCAAGGUCGGCACGGUAGUACCCAAUCAUAAGUCACUAUCAACAACUUGUUGACAAGAUUCUACCAGUCGUUAAUAUAACUUAACAAGUUAAAACUUUACAUCACACUAGUGAUUCUAUCAGGCUAUACCUGGUCAGUCACUCACAAUCCCUCACUACUCCUUACACAUAAGGAAAGUGGUUUACUAAGAUUCUGUUCAUAGACUCAUGGCACAUAUCCUGUAGUCCAAUAUAAACCUCUACUUGACUAUACAAGUAUGUUAUCAUAUCCAAAUCUAGUUAUUUACUAGAUUAUAUUCAGUUGAAUAAUCAUUCAAGUUAUGCCAUCAUAUGAAAGUCUAGUUACUUACUAGAACAUAUACCAUAAUACAAGUCUAUCAUGUGAAAGUAGAAACUAACAGGGUAAUGCAAGCAAGUAAAACAAGCGAUAAAACACUCUUCACAUGAUCUCUAUGCCAUUCAUUCUACAAUUAGAAAUGCAUAUGCCAAACAAGGCCUUUACCUGAACUUUCAGAGUAUAGCAAUUAUACAUAACAUUGCAUCGUUCAAUCCUAAAUACAUCAAUCUCUUUGUUGUUCAACAGAACUAUUUAGUCCAUUCACGAGAGAUCAAAGGCUAAAUCGUAACUUAAACCUGCGGCAAAUCAGAGCAACGAAGGUUGACUCGAUCUUUAACAAAAGUCGUCAUUUCUUCCCAAGAAAACCGACGAUUAAUAGGUAGAUUUGAGACUCUAUGCAAUGAAAUUUCGAAUACUUCCUAUUCAUCACUCAAUAUUGAGUUAAAGCCUUGAUACACGUCGAAUAACUGCGUCAAAACAUUCUAAGGAAGCGUCGUCCAAGAGACAUUAUAUGACUUAGACCCGGAUAGCUGUUCAAGUUCCCAACCUUACCGGAAACCUGGACUAGAUGCUGCAAACUAUCUGGAAUCUUCCCAAAACUGUUCAAUGACUUCACUCUUUCAUUGACCUUAACCCUUUAACGUAGCGUUUACGUAAUAGUUAACGUUACGAAGCUUAAACCAAUUAAUGCUUCAAGCUUACACUUUUUACCAUACACCUUGAUGGGAUGUAUAAGAUUUCCCGAAUCUGUUCAAAAACCUGUUCAAUCUCCCAUUAACCUUUCGAUUUUCGUUCUUUCACGUAACGAAACCGCUUUAGUCGUAAAAAGACGAACGACAUGGCCAUGUCGGUGUAGCACAUGGCCAUGCGUCACGGUCUAUGCACCGUCAUUCCGAUAAAGCCAUUUAAGUGUAGAAUAGAGAUAGGUAUAUUGGGGUCGUGCUGGACCCUACGAGUCCCUUCCAACGAACUCAAGUCUCUUCGAAGAAAGUGGAAGAGAGAAAGAGAGAGAGAUCCCAAAAAGAGAGAGAUCUCUUUUCGGCGGCUAAGCGCGGCAAAAGCGCGGCGCGAUCAACGAACGACUAACCUCCUGAGUUCCCUUCAGAAACCGUGCACCCCUCUUCCUCAAAACGACACAAAAGACCCUCCAAUGAUGGUCCCCUUCGACUAAGAGUCGAAAUCUCUCCAUGAGUUGAGCUAAAGAGAGAUCAAAGGCCAAAUCAUAACUAAAACCUGCGGCAAAUCAGAGCGACGGAGGUUGACUCGAUCUUCAACAAAUAUCGUCAAUUCUUUUCAAUAAAACUGACACUUAAUGUAUGAAAUCGAGUCUCCUUUCAACAAAAUUUCGAACUAUUUCUAUUCAUCACUUAAUACUGAGAUUAAGUUCGAUAUGUGCCUAAAUAGCUCGCUUAACUACGUCCAACUUGGAAAGAGAAGCGUCGUCCAAACGCUUAGUAUAAUCCGAUAAAACCACUGUACCCUCCGACCAAAUCUUUCACAAAGUUGAUUUCCAUUCGACUUUAACGACACUCCUUUGACUUAAAAGUUCUAAGGCUGAUAUAGAUAACUAUAAACUGCUGAUACUACGGCAAAACCUUUAACAAGCGUCGCCCGAACGUUGCCUGAAAGCCUCAUAGAGGCCGACUACACAUUUCCGAAAAUCUUCGAAUUGAACUCCAUAAUUGACUCGGUUUUUUUUUAUCCUUAAAUUCGAUAACGAAACAUGAUUUAUGUUACACACGGCUUUAACCUGUAAAGCCAGCAUCAAACUGCGCGGAAGGCACAAAGCAAAAGUCGUCUCAACCCUGAGGCAACUCAUCUCAAAGCCCUGAAGAACACCGACCUAACUUGAAGUAUUAUCCACCCAGCCUGGAAGGGCUUUACCCACUUAAGGGAGAUACAGAAGAAACUGUAGACUCAACUUCAAUAAGGAAUAAGUACACUUAUAUACAUAUCAAGUACGCUGUACGUAACUUCACAUCUAGUAUAGCCUAUACUAUCUGUCAUUACUUUCUAAGCACUGAACAAGUGAGAUAUACCAAUGUACAACAAUUUCAUGAUACCUAAGUACUAUGAUCAUCGUUAAACCGAACAACAAUAGGUGCUCCUAUCUUACCAUUCANAAAGAGAGAAGAUGGAAGACUCUCUCCUGAGCUCCAGCAACUUCUGAAGAGGUCCAGGGGUCGAGCUGGGAGGAUAGGGAUGAGUAAAGGAUGUGGAAAGACCAAAACAACCCUGCUGCCACGCAGCUGCAGCUGCUGCUGCUUGCUGUACCGGUACAGCAUUAUGCUUGUACCGGUACACCAAUGCAGAAAAUGCCAAUUUCGCGAUUUCAAUGCACUUUCUCGCUUUUAACCCUCCAAUCACUCUCUAACUUAUUCAAAAACUUGUCCAAGUCAUUUAGAACAUGUAGAAUAGUUCCACACUUCAUUCCACACACUCGAACUCUGCAAUUUGCGAAAGUUCAGUGUAUUACACUGUGUAGCCUUUUUGGCUAGUGUUGUGUUGAGGGGCGUUUAUGAUACGCCUAGGCUUGAGGAUAUCCCGGUGGUGCGGGAGUUUCAGGAUGUGUUUCCAGCUGAACUAUCGGGUAUGCCUCCUGAUAGGGAGAUUGAGUUUGUGGUAGAUCUCGUCCCUGGGACUACCCCAAUCUCAAAGGCACUCUAUAGGAUGGCACCAGCGGAGUUGAAGGAGCUGAGGGCACAGCUACAGGAUCUUCUCGACAGAGGCUUCAUUCGGCCGAGCGUCUCGCCUUGGGGAGCUCCAGUUUUGUUCGUCAAGAAAAAGGACGGAUCGCUUCGCUUAUGUGUGGAUUAUCGUGAGCUCAAUAAAGUCACGAUCAAGAAUAAGUAUCCGUUGCCGAGGAUUGACGACUUAUUUGAUCAGCUUCAGGGAUCGUGUGUGUAUUCCAAGAUAGACUUACAGUCGGGAUACCACCAGUUAAAGAUUAAGCCCGAGGAUGUUUCGAAGACGGCUUUUAGAACACGGUAUGGACACUAUGAGUUCAUUAUUAUGCCGUUUGGGCUUACUAAUGCCCCGGCAGCUUUUAUGGAUCUUAUGAACCGUGUCUUUAAGCCUUAUCUGGAUAGGUUCGUCGUGGUGUUCAUCGACGACAUCUUGGUUUAUUCCCGGAGUGAUGCAGAUCACGAGGAGCAUUUGAGGAUUGUACUCCAAGUACUUCGAAAAAAGGAGCUCUACGCCAAGUUGAAGAAAUGUGAAUUUUGGCUUCGAGAGGUGGCAUUCCUUGGACAUUUGAUUUCAGGAUCAGGCAUCGCCGUGGACCCGAAAAAAAUUGAAGCUAUCAAGGAUUGGCCAAGGCCGACGAGCGUCACGGAGAUACGGAGCUUUCUUGGCUUGGCCGGCUACUAUCGACGGUUUGUUGAGGGAUUUGCAAGGUUAUCUACUCCCCUCACGAGGCUCACGCACAAGGGUGUUAAGUUCAUUUGGAAUGAUGCGUGUGAAAGGAGCUUCCAAGAGUUGAAGCAAAGAUUGACUACCGCCCCGAUCCUAACCCUGCCAGUCGCCGGCGCGGGGUAUGUGGUUUAUAGUGAUGCUUCUUUUAAUGGAUUGGGUUGCGUUUUGAUGCAGGAUUGCAAGGUGAUCGCGUAUGCUUCUCGCCAAUUGAAGGAAUAUGAAAGGAAUUAUCCUACACAUGAUUUGGAAUUGACGGCCGUAGUCUUUGCAUUGAAGCUAUGGCGUCACUAUCUUUAUGGCGAGCGGUGUGAAGUGUACACGGAUCACAAGAGCUUGAAAUACUUAUUCACUCAGAAGGAGUUGAACUUGAGACAGCGUAGAUGGUUGGAGCUGCUCAAGGAUUAUAAUCUGACUAUUUUGUACCACCCAGGGAAGGCUAACGUGGUGGCUCAUGCGCUAAGUAGGAAAUCGAUGGAAAACUUAGCGAUACAUGUUGUGACUCAACCGCAGUUGAUCGAGCAGAUGAAGCGGUUGGAGUUGGAGAUAGUGACUCCUGACACACCCUUGAGAUUGAUGACUUUUGUAGUGCAACCUACUUUUUUGUAUAGAAUCAAAGAGAAGCAAGUUUCCGAUUUGGGAUUGCAAAAGAUUAGAGGUAAAAUGGUUGAUGGUUGCACCGGCGACUUCCUUUUGGAUGAUCAGGGAGUGAUGCGUUUCCAUGGGCAGAUUUGUGUACCCGCGGAUUCGGGGAUUAAAGAAGACAUUCUUCAAGAAGCGCACUGGGCGCCCUAUGCUAUACAUCCGGGUGGCACCAAGAUGUAUAAGGACUUAAAGUUGCUCUAUUGGUGGCCUGGGAUGAAAAAGGAUGUUGGCGAGUUUGUCGCUAGAUGCUUAACUUGCCAACAAGUAAAGGCUGAGCACCGAGUUCCCGCGGGAAAACUUCAGAGUUUGCCUAUUCCCGUGUGGAAGUGGGAGAAGAUCACCAUGGACUUUGUGACAGGAUUGCCACGCUCACAGGCGGGGCAUGACGCUAUUUGGGUGAUCGUGGAUAGGUUGACGAAGUCGGCGCACUUCAUACCUAUUCAUACGACUUGGACCGGAGAGAAGCUCGCACAAGUGUACCUUGAUGAGAUUGUGCGACUUCAUGGAGUGCCUACAUCGAUUGUAUCUGAUCGCGACACGCGCUUCGUGUCUCACUUUUGGAGGAGUCUACAGGACGCCUUAGGCACCCGAUUGGAUUUCAGUACAGCAUUCCACCCGCAGAGUGAUGGACAGUCGGAGCGCACUAUUCAGACUUUAGAGGAUAUGCUCCGGGCUUGUGUGAUAGACUUCCAGGGAGGAUGGUCGCAGCAUCUACCUAUGGCGGAGUUUGCUUAUAACAACAGUUAUCAAGCAAGCAUCAAGAUGGCGCCCUUCGAAGCACUUUAUGGACGGAAGUGCAGAUCGCCACUUCAUUGGAGUGAAGUCGGCGAGAGUUUGGCUCUAGGCCCUGAUGUGCUCCAGGAAGCUGAGGACAAGGUUCGAAUUGCUCGGGAGCGACUUUUGACGGCGCAGAGUAGACAGAGGAGCUACGCCGAUCGACGACGGCGAGACUUGGAGUUCCAAGUUGGAGACCAUGUGUUCUUGAAGGUCUCGCCGACUAGAGGAAUCAAGAGAUUCGGGAUUCGGGGAAAGUUGAGCCCCCGUUUCAUUGGACCGUAUGAGAUCUUGGAGCGUGUAGGUCCGGUAGCGUAUCGACUUGCUCUACCACCGAACCUAUCGGGCGUACACAACGUCUUUCAUGUAUCGGUCCUUCGGAGGUACAUUCAUGAUCCAGCUCAUGUUUUGGAUGCUGUACCAGUGGAGCUGCGUGAGGAUUUGAGCUUCGAGGAGCAACCAGUGAAGAUUUUGGCUCGCGAGGUGAAGAAGCUGCGGAAUCGGGAUAUUCCGUAUGUGAAGGUCCUUUGGAGCAACCACGGGGAGCGGGAGGCCACGUGGGAGCUAGAGAGUGCGCUGCAGGAGCGCUAUCCCCAUCUUUUUCAGAUGGAGCCUUGAGGUAUGCUUUUGCUUUCGAGUUUCGCGGACGAAACUCCUUUUUAGGAGGGGUGAAUGUAAUACACUGGAUCUUAGCAAAUUGCAAGAUUCGAGUGUUUGAUCUGUGUGUGGAGCCUUUCCACAGUUUUUGGAGGGUCGUUGAUAGUGUCCCGACCCCUGGCACGCAUCCCGAGGAUGUUGGAGU